rnacentral:rRNA from 1 species
CCUGGUUGAUCCUGCCAGUGGUCAUAUGCUUGUCUCAAAGAUUAAGCCAUGCAUGUUUAAGCAGAAGCCGCACAACGGUAAAGCCGCGAAUGGCUCAUUACAACAGCCGUCGUUUCUUGGAUCUCUAAUUUUACUUGGAUAACUGUGGUAAUUCUAGAGCUAAUACACGCACUAAAGCUCUGACCUUACGGAACGAGCGCAUUUAUUAGAACAAAACCAAUCGGGUUUCGGCCCGUUCGUUGGUGACUCUGAAUAACUCUGCCGAUCGCACGGUCUCGCACCGGCGACGUAUCUUUCAAGUGUCUGCCUUAUCAACUUUCGAUGGUAGUUUAUGUGCCUACCAUGGUUGUAACGGGUAACGGAGAAUAAGGGUUCGACUCCGGAGAAGGAGCCUGAGAAACGGCUACCACAUCCAAGGAAGGCAGCAGGCGCGCAAAUUACCCACUCUCGGCACGAGGAGGUAGUGACGAAAAAUAACGAGACGGAUCUCUUUGAGGCCCGUUAUCGGAAUGAGAACAAUUCAAAUCCUUUAACGAGGAUCUAGCGGAGGGCAAGUCUGGUGCCAGCAGCCGCGGUAAUUCCAGCUCCGCAGGUGUAUAUCUAUGCUGCUGCGGUUAAAAAGCUCGUAGUUGGAUCUGCGUGCUCGGAACUGGUUGGCUCACUGAGUUCAAACUGGUCUCCGGCGCUUUAUUGGCUGGUUUUCCCUUGAUGCUCUUAACCGGGUGUCUUGGGUGGCUAGCACGUUUACUUUGAAAAAAUUAGAGUGCUCAAUACAGGCGUAAAGCCUUGAAUAGUGGUGCAUGGAAUAAUAGAAUAGGACCUCGGCUCUAUUUUGUUGGUUUUCGGAACGCGAGGUAAUGAUUAAGAGGGACAGACGGGGGCAUUCGUAUUGCGACGUUAGAGGUGAAAUUCUUGGAUCGUCGCAAGACGGACGACUGCGAAAGCAUUUGCCAAGAAUGUUUUCACUAAUCAAGAACGAAAGUUAGAGGUUCGAAGGCGAUCAGAUACCGCCCUAGUUCUAACCGUAAACGAUGCCAACUAGCGAUUCGCAGGCGUUAAACAACGACCUUGCGGGCAGCUUCCCGGAAACGAAAGUGUUCGGGUUCCGGGGGAAGUAUGGUUGCAAAGCUGAAACUUAAAGGAAUUGACGGAAGGGCACCACCAGGAGUGGAGCCUGCGGCUUAAUUUGACUCGACACGGGAAAACUCACCCGGCCCGGACACCGUAAGGAUUGACAGAUUGAGAGCUCUUUCUUGAUUCGGUGGGUGGUGGUGCAUGGCCGUUCUUAGUUGGUGGAGCGAUUUGUCUGGUUUAUUC